rnacentral:rRNA from 1 species
CGACCGGCGCACGGGUGAGUAACACGUAUCCAACCUGCCGUCUACUCUUGGACAGCCUUCUGAAAGGAAGAUUAAUACAAGAUGGCAUCAUGAGUCCGCAUGUUCACAUGAUUAAAGGUAUUCCGGUAGACGAUGGGGAUGCGUUCCAUUAGAUAGUAGGCGGGGUAACGGCCCACCUAGUCUUCGAUGGAUAGGGGUUCUGAGAGGGAGGUCCCCCACAUUGGAACUGAGACACGGUCCAAACUCCUACGGGAGGCAGCAUG